CUAAAAAUAGCAGCAGCUGACAAAUGUGAAUUUAAAGAGCAUGCCAAAGGACUGAAAAAUAUUUUUUCAAGUGAAGAGAUCAACUCAUUUGAAAAAUGAAAAUGAUGACAAAGUAUGAGUGGGAUAAAGAAAACUUAGCAUAGCACCUUCCUUCAAGGAACAAUGAAGUGAAAUUUACCAUCACCCAAAAAUGGAUGCUCAAAAAUAGAAGCAAAAUGGCACAGUAGUAAUCAGUAGCAAAAUACAACCUCUCUGGCACCCGGAAUCCGGACAUCCGGAAAAUAACAACUUGACCAAAAGAAAUACAGAAGUGGAUCUCCAGAAAUUAGGAGGGAGCUGACAGGAAAAUUAGAAGCUACAGAGAAGUUAGAGAA